AACGAACGCUGGCGGUGUGCCUCAUACAUGCAAGUCGUACGCGAAUCCUGCCGCAAGGCAGGGUUUGAGUGGCAAACGGGUGCGUAACACGUAGGUAAUCUUCCUUUGAGUUGGGGAUAAGCCCUCGAAAGGGGGUCUAAUACCGAAUAACACUUCGGGCCGGCAUCGGCCUGAAAUUAAAGAUGGCCUCUGCUUGCAAGCUAUCGCUCGGAGAUGAGCCUGCGGCCGAUUAGUUAGUUGGCGGGAUAAAAGCCCACCAAGACUUCGAUCGGUAGCCGGGUCUGAGAGGAUGUCCGGCCACACUGGGACUGAGAUACGGCCCAGACUCCUACGGGAGCAGCAGUGGGAAUAUUGCGCAAUGGCCGCAAGGCUGAC
rnacentral:rRNA from 1 species